UGNUCUGUCACUGACGCUGAGGCUCGAAAGCGUGGGUAGCGAACAGGAUUAGAUACCCUGGUAGUCCACGCCGUAAACGCUGAGUGCUAGGUGUUAGGUCCUUUCCGGGACUUAGUGCCGACGCUAACGCAUUAAGCACUCCGCCUGGGGAGUACGACCGCAAGGUUGAAACUCAAAGGAAUUGACGGGGGCCCGCACAAGCGGUGGAGCAUGUGGUUUAAUUCGAAGCAAUGCGAAGAACCUUACCAGGUCUUGACAUCCCGAUGCCCGCUCUAGAGAUAGAGUUUUACUUUUUGUACAUCGGAGACAGGUGGUGCAUGGUUGUCGUCAGCUCGUGUCGUGAGAUGUUGGGUNNNNNNNNNNNNNCGAGCGCGACCCUUAUUGUUAGUUGCCAUCAUUAAGUUGGGCACUCUAGCGAGACUGCCGGUAAUAAACCGGAGGAAGGUGGGGAUGACGUCAAAUCAUCAUGCCCCUUAUGACCUGGGCUACACACGUGCUACAAUGGUUGGUACAACGAGUCGCAAGCCGGUGACGGCAAGCUAAUCUCUGAAAGCCAAUCUCAGUUCGGAUUGUAGGCUGCAACUCGCCUACAUGAAGUCGGAAUCGCUAGUAAUCGCGGAUCAGCACGCCGCGGUGAAUACGUUCCCGGGCCU
rnacentral:rRNA from 1 species